rnacentral:rRNA from 1 species
UACAGGGGGGGCAAGCGUUGUUCGGAAUUACUGGGCGUAAAGGGCUCGUAGGCGGCCAACUAAGUCCGACGUGAAAUCCCAAAGCUUAACUUUGGAACUGCGUCGGAUACUGGAUGGCUUGAAUUCGGGAGAGGGAUGCAGAAUUCCAGGUGUAGCGGUGAAAUGCGUAGAUAUCUGGAGGAAUACCGGUGGCGAGGGCGGCAUCCUGGACCGACAUUGACGCUGAUGAGCGAAAGCUAGGGGAGCAAACGGG